AUGGGUACAGCACACACGGCCCCCAGCAUCACCUAUGCAGCCCCUUCCUUUGGGGAGGAGUAUAAUUUGAUUUGGCCCUGGGAGCCUAACACAAUGCAUUCUGAAGAGUGGUCUGAACCAGCCUCAAAGCAGACGCCCGGUGAGGUUUCACCCAGCAGAAUAAUGGAAAAAGGAGUGUGUGAAUGGAGAGACCCAGAAGAGCAGAUGGGCAAUGCGAGCUGCCCAGCUUCCCAAGCAGAUUCCAGACGCUUCUGGGAUUCCUCGCACCAGCAGAAGCAGCCUUGCUGGGUGCAUGACUGGGGAAGCACGGAGCAGCACUUUGCGUCUGACCGGCUGGUGCCAGCAGCUGCCAGACUCUCCGCAACGCUCAUGAAUUGUUUUGCUCCUUCCCCUUCUUUCAAACCACUAUUACCAGCCCUGUUCUUAAUCAUCUCAGGUCAAACCGAGCUGCAGCCUGUGGUUUGGCUGCCUGUUUGUUUAACUCUGUGUGGCUGGGAAGGGGUCACUGUCGCUCGCAGGCUUGGGCAGAGCUCCUCAGCCCUGCAGGCUCUGGUCUGA
rnacentral:lncRNA from 1 species